GAAUCCCCACAACGGAGUGAGCUCCUGUUGCUCUGUCCCAGCUUCUGCCAACCUAGCAGUUCGAAAGCACACCAGUGCAAGUAGAUAAAUAGGUACUGUUGUGGCAGGGAGGUAAACGGUGUUUCCGUGCGCUCUGGUUUCUGUCACAGUGUUCCGUUGCACCAGAAGUGGUUUAGUCAUGCUGGCCACAUGACCUGGAAAGCUGUCUGCGGACAAACACUGGCUCCCUCGACCUGAAAGCGAGAUGAGCGCCGCAACCCCAUAGUCGCCUUUGACUGGACUUGACCGUCCAGGGGUCCUUUACCUUUACCUAUAACUGUAAUACCUAAAUGAGUACAUAAGAAGAUCCCUGCUAGUCCAGCAUCCUGUUCUCACAGUGGCCAGCCAGAUGCCCCCAAGAAAGUCUGCAAGCAGGAACUAAAUGCAAUAGAGUUCUCCCUUCCAGCAGUAGCCUGCAGCUGGUAUUCAGAGUCAUACCACCUCUGAUGAUAGAAGGAGAACAAAGGUGUUAUGGCUAGUAGCCAUUGAUAAAAGUUAACAAACCAGUCUUCCCGCUUCCUUUCUUUUUAUGUAUUCUUAAGAAAUGGCCUUCAAGCUUAAUCUCUGCCUUCUUUCCCCGCUUUCCCUUACUUUGAGAUUGGCAAAGGGGGGCCUACUGGUGCAGCUUAAUGAGUGUUGCUUCUGUGGUGAGGGCCUCUUCUGUGGUGGCACCCCCAUGAUGGACUUCAUCCCCCUUGGAAGCGUGAAUAGCCAGGACGUUAAUGGGUUUUUGCUGGUUUCUGAAGAGACUCAUCUGUCCUCAAAAGCCUUUGGUGGUUGAUUCAGUGCUGUUGUUUCUCCCACUGGGCCUUGUUGUAAAAGGAAAUGAAAUUGCUAUAGGUUCCGAUUUAUGGUCCGAUAGUGUUUUGAUGAUAUUGUGUUGAUUUAAUUGUUAUCGAUGUGCACUUUUAUGCUUAGAGGUCACUAGGACAUAAAAGUGGGUUAUAAUAAUUCUAAAUGCACAUUUUGGAAAGUUGUGUGUUUGUUGUGCAUCUCUUAAGAGAUCCUAACCCAGCUUUGCAUGUUCCUGAAACCAAGGAGCAGGCUUCCACCUGUGCAUAGAUGCACUUGGGUGCUGUAUCAAAGCUUCACUGAUCUUAACCACUGAUUUCAAAACUGCACUGAUUUUUUUUCCACAUUCUUUGUGUUCCAGAGCAAUUUGGGGCACAAGGCUACUAGUAAAUAAAUGGCACCAGACGCCAUUGAUUGGACAGGGUUGCAAAGCAUCCAGCUCUACUUCCCAGGCUUUACCUGUUCUAGAGAAGGGGAAGCAGGGAGGGAGAGAAGGCUAAUGUUUCAUCCACGCUGGAGGAGGUUGUUACUCCUCCGACACCUUUAAAAGGGUACAAGUCCCUGAUGUGAGCUUUGUUAAAUGAUGACUUGUAAUCUCUUUAUUCAGUUAACUCAUUUGCCUAGCACUAACAGCUGAAGAGCCGCUUUGCAAGGACUUUGAAAACGCAUAGGAAACACUUGCUGUUAAUUACUGGAACAUGGAAGGAUCUCAGAGGAUGCAAACAAGAAGGAUAAUUAUCAGGGAGCGUUUAAUUUUUAAAAGAAGGUGGGAGAGAACUGGGGACACGUAUGCUGAGGAUGAUAAUGGAGAGGCAUGUGGAAACGCAAUCACACAGACAUUUCCCUUUAUGCACCUUGAAUCAUAUUGGGAGGGCUUUUCCAGUCUAAAGGACUGUGUAAAAAAGAUGGAGAUAGGGAGGGAAAUCCCAGGCCCCAGGGGGCUAAUGUGGCCCUCCAGGCCUCCCUGACAGGCCCUCAGAACUAUCCCCAGGUCACACCCUCCUUGAUUGCUUUUGUCUGGCUGGAAUACGUCCUUGAAUUUUGAUAAUACUUCUUGCUUGCCUGCAUGGAAGAUGGAGAUAGAGAGCUCUGUGUGUGUAGAAACCUCUGGCUCUUGUGUGGCUGAAAUGUAGACUUCUAUAAAGAGGUGAGACCCACAUUCCUAACUCCUCCCACUUUCGCUUCUCGCUCCACCCAGUUUUCCCCUCUGGACACCACCUGCAUGUGGACCUCAGAAGGUUUACUGAGGAAAGGCGGCCUCCAAGCUUUUUCAGCUUGAGAUGAGAAAUCACCUGGCAUAGUGUGUUGGACUUCAAGCUGGGUGACCGAGUCAGAUUGUUGGUCCAUCCAGCUUUGUCUACACUGACUGGCAGUGACUUUUCGGAUUCCAGGGAGGAGAUGUUCUCAGCCCUAUCUGGAGAUGCCAGCGAUUGAACCUGAGACCUUCUGCGUGCAAUGCAAAUGCUCUUCCACUGACCUAUGUCCCUUUCCCCAGGCAAAGACAUGGUUCAUGCUGACUGUUGCAUUGUAUGUCCCCGCCUCCAAGUGUCUUGUCUCUACCCUGAAAGAGUUGUUUGGCACAAACUCUUUUAUCUGGCCCCAAACCCUUUGUUCUCUUGCGCUGCUUAAGACCGGUGUGUUAGUCCUUUAAUCCUCAUUCCGCCAGAACUUUGGAUGGGAUGGAGGAUGUUUUUGUUUUAUUUUUGGAACAACUGAGCAACGCAGCCAAGGAGCACAUGAGGAAUGCAGUUGCUAGGACAGAAGCCAAUUGCAGAAGCAACUGUCUAUAAAAAUUGUCCACUCUUUGGACAGCAAAUCCCUGCGCUGAAUAUUCUACACUCUUAAUACAAGCAGCACACGACAUCCCUUUGGGUAUCUCGUGGUUGCUGCCUGAACAGGCUCACAUCAAGCCAACUGGGCUGCGAGGCAAAGGGAAGCCGCUCUGUCUUGGCCACACCAGGGAGCAGAGCAGAGCUUGGAUAUGAAAGCUGACAAUGUUGGGGGGGGGCAAAUAUUAAUGUAUUUAUUAAGCAAUCUGAACCGUCUCUUCAUCUGUUUUUGCCAAGAUGAAGGAAGCUACUUGAUGUAGCACAUAUGGCUGAAGGGAGCACAAAGUAGAGCAUGCAUGAGAGAUGGAGAGAGAAGGAGGGAACGCGUUCACCCCUUGAGGUCAUUGGUUUGCAUCCAGCCCAAAACCAACGCCAAAGGAUGUUACCAUCUGACAGCUCUUUGGUGGCCUGUUGGAAGGGAUUUGGUGGUUUCUGACGAAUCCUGUGUGGGCAGGUGUCCACGUUACACUUGGCAGCAAGCGGUGUUCUCGCUUGGCAGCCUGGGCGAAAGGCAUCGCAGAGGGGAGCAGCUGGGGAGGUCGGCUGCAUGAUUGGACGGCCUCCCGUCAUCUGCACGGCGGGGCAGAGAUCACCCAAGAGUGAGAAGAGCCGGGAGGACUCGCAAGAGCGUAAGAAGCCCUGACACAUCAUGCCAAGGGUCUAUCUAGUCCGGCAUCCUCUUUCUCACAGUGGCCAACUGGGUGCCCACAGGAAGCCCUGGGGCAUGGACAGGAAAGCAGAAGCCCUUAAGAGUACUCCCCACUAACGUCACUUUCGCUAAUCACAAAGCUUGAUCCUUUUGCUGAUUACAAAGGUGCCUGGGAUGAAUGAAUUACAAGAAGCAAUCAUUCGCUUUUUUUUUUAGGCUUAUUCUUUGUAAUGUGAGAAUAGUCACAUCAGAAUGUCUUGCAUUGCCAGUAGUAGGAGCCACCUGUGUGUCUGGCUUUUUCCGAGCUGAGGACACCUGCCUACUCUUCAUUUCCAGGGCUCAUCUAGGCAGCAACAUCUGCCUAGAUCUCCUUAAAGCCAUCCAAGUUAGUGACUUGUCUACAGCCUGAUGCCUGCAACCUCUGGUUGACUUUGAUUAGUGGUGGCUCUCCAGGGUUUCAGACAGAGAAGGGUCUUUACUGUCACCUACUACUUGAUUAUUAUUUUUUAAACAGAGUUGCACCUUGGACCUUCCACAUGCAAAGCACCUUCUAACGCUGCCAUCGUUCAUUCCUGUUAUUUAUUGGAUGCUUUUAAGGGCUAAACUGUAGCAGAGAAAAAUAAAAACAGUAGAACCUUAAGCAACAAAUGAAGCACUGAGUAGAUACAGAAAAACAGAUGCGUUUUGAGAACCUGAACUAGAUUGCCUCGACUCUCUUAAGGAAGGGACCCCUGCUACAGUGUGGACCAUGAGCGUGGGGGGCAGGCUUUAUGUUAGAACUGAGUUAUCUGUGAUGCACUCUCCCUCCUGCAGUUUCCAGCAACUGGCAUUCAGACACAUACAGUCAUACCUUGGAUCCCAAAUGCCUUGGUACUCGGACGUUUUGGCUCCCAAACGCCACAAACCCAGAAGUGAGCGUUCUGCUUUGUGAACGUUCUUUGGAACCCAGACGUCCAACAGGGCUUCUGCGGCUUCCGAUUGGCUGCAGGAACUUCCUGCAACCAAUCAGAAGCCAUGCUUGGGUUUCAAAACUCUUUGGAAGUCGAAGUAACUUCCAGAACAGAUUCCGUUCGACUUCCAAGGUACGACUGUACUGCCUCCAACAUUAGAGGGAGAACAUAGACAUCCUGGCUAGUAGCCACGGAUAGCCUUCGUUUCCAUGAAUUUGUCUAAUCUCUUUUCAAGCCAUUCAAGCUCAUCUCCUGAUCACCAUCUUCUUCCACUAGCAUGAGAUACAUUGCUCUUAUAUUUAACAUAUGGACAAUGCAAUCUAUACUCAGAGCAGACCCUUGGAAAUUAAUGGGCAUGGCUAGCUAAGGCCCAGUUGGUUUACUCUGUGUCCCAUUAAGUUGGAUACAACCCAAUAUUUCUAAAUGUUGUUGUUGUUUAGUCAUUUAGUCGUGUCCGACUCUCCGUGACCCCAUGGACCAGAGCACGCCAGGCACUCCUGUCUUCCACUGCCUCCUGCAGUUUGAUCAAAUUCAUGUUGGUAGCUUCGAGAACAUUGUCCAACCAUCUCGUCCUCUGAUUUUUCUUUACAGCAUUGGCCUUUCCUUUCGCUUCCAGGCAUAUCUGCAACAAAUAAGUAAGCACAUGCAAAUUUCGUGCAAAUCCACAUUUUCUUUUGCCCUCUCACUCUUUUUAGCAAUAUUCUUCCUCUUUGGAGGCGAUUUGUUAAUUGGACACCUUGCCAACUAAUAAGGGGGCUCGGAGUGGCUCGGAGGGUUGUGGCCACCAUCCUGCAGCAAGCAGAUUGGUUGCCUGUCUUUGUUUAGAAGGCAUUUCUUAGGUAAUUAUCUUCAGCCAAUUCUACUCUUUCAACUUCAAGAAGGGUGGCGUAUCCAGGCACAAAGCUGGAAAUGAAACACAUCUGGAGGUCCAAAAGGGGACAGCGGCUGAUUCUUAUUUUGCUGUUUUCUGUGUAUGCGAUUUUUUAAACAACAACAAUGAAGAACAAAGUUCUGUAUCUUGCUAAUUGAAUGCACAGACUCUUUUUUUCUCCUCCUUUUUUAUUUUUUAUUUUUUGAAAACGACACCCGGAUUCUGUUUCUGUGCCAUUAAUGGGACUCUGUUGUUUGAUCUCAUCAAGGCCAUUUUGACCAUGUGUUUGUGGUAAUUCACUAAAACGUGUGAGGCUUGAGUUGGUGGCAUGUCCUGACCCUCCAGUCUGAAGGACAACAACUCUCCAAGGGGUCUUGCACUUCCCUUUUAAUGUCUUAUUUGGCCAACAGCAGUUCCUUGAUCACGCCAAGCCGUGGAGUUACUUAUGUUCAUAUCACAAUGCCAAAUGACCCUACCGAGCCAAAGUUGAAAGCAGAGGAACUAUGGCUUGUCUUCAAUGAACAUAUGAACAUGAGAACAUCCAAAGAGAAUAGCUAUCGUGGCUGGUAGCCUUCAGGAGCCCUUUCCUCUGCGAAUGCUAGCCAGUGAGUCUACUCUAACUAGAACUUCGUUGGAUGCAUUUUUGGUUUUUGGUUUUUAAAACUGAAUGGAAAUGGGAGGCCUGCUCCAAAAAAAUGAUACUAAUUCUUCAUUCCAUUAUCAUCUUUCUUUUUUUAGAACUAAUGGCUGGGGAGAGAAGUGGUACUCAGGACUGGGGCUGUUGUGUGUGGAGAUUUGAUUCUCUACCAGAAAAGACUCAGAGGCCAUUCGUAGAGCACAGGGGUGUGGGUUGCAGAUAGAGAUGGGGACAAAUCUGAUUUGGUUCACAUUUAAAGAUGAACCUACCUAAUUGCACUUUUCAGAACAAGAGACAAAAUAAGCUGUCCUUCAGAAUUUGGACUUCUUCGAACUGUGCAAUGCAGUUCUCCAACAAUUUUACAGAAAUGUAUAGAUCAGGGGGAAAGUGUGCCUGAAAAAUGAAUAUUUUAGCUGAAGUAGCAUACGUAAAUGCGUUUUGUGUAGGGGCAAUUGCUUACAGGAGUGUGUACGUUACUCAAAGCUGCAUACAGGAAUGUAUUUAUCAGCAGAAAUUGGCCUUAAAAUGCUAUUGAACUUUCACAACGGCUUUUC